GGAAAAGUUGCUAUAGGUAAGGCGAGAUAUUUGCUAAAUAUUGUGUUUAACACCUGGUGGUUCAAAUCCACUCUUUUCCG
rfam:Pyrenophora teres f. teres 0-1 contig_001769, whole genome shotgun sequence.